UAACCUGCCCUUAAAGUCUGGGAUACCAUUUGGAAACAGAUGCUAAUACCGGAUAAAAGCUACUUUCGCAUGAAAGAAGUUUAAAAGGACGGCGUAAGCUGUCGCUAAAAGGGGAUGGACCUGCGAUGCAUUAGCUAGUGGUAAGGUAACGGCUUACCAAGGCGAUGAUGCAUAGCCCGAGUUGAGAGACUGAUCGGCCACAUUGGGACUGAGACACGGCCCAAACUCCUACGGGAGGCAGCAGUAGGGAAUCUUCCACAAUGGACGCAAGUCUGAUGGAGCAACGCCGCGUGAGUGAAGAAGGUUUUCGGAUCGUAAAGCUCUGUUGUUGGUGAAGAAGGAUAGAGGUAGUAACUGGCCUUUAUUUGACGGUAAUCAACCAGAAAGUCACGGCUAAUUACGUGCCAGCAGCCGCGGUAAU
rnacentral:rRNA from 1 species